rnacentral:rRNA from 1 species
UACGGAGGGUGCAAGCGUUAUCCGGAUUCACUGGGUUUAGAGGGUGCGUAGGUGGGCAGGUAAGUCAGUGGUGAAAUCUCUGGGCUUAACCCGGAAACUGCCGUUGAUACUAUCUGUCUUGAAUGUAGUGGAGGUGAGCGGAAUAUGUCAUGUAGCGGUGAAAUGCUUAGAUAUGACAUAGAACAUCGAUUGCGAAGGCAGCUCGCUACACUAUGAUUGACACUGAGGCACGAAAGCGUGGGGAUCAAACAGG